AUCGUAACUCCUACGGGAGGCAGCAGUGGGGAAUUUUGGACAAUGGGGGCAACCCUGAUGCAGCGACGCCGCGUGAACGAAGAAGGUAUUCGUAUCGUAAAGUUCUGUCCUAUGGGAAGAUAAUGACAGUACCAUAGAAGAAAGCUCCGGCUAAAUACGUGCCAGCAGCCGCGGUAAUACGUAUGGAGCGAGCGUUGUCCGGAAUUAUUGGGCGUAAAGGGUACGCAGGCGGUUUAAUAAGUCGAAUGUUAAAGAUCGGGGCUCAACCCCGUAAAGCAUUGGAAACUGAUAAACUUGAGUAGUGGAGAGGAAAGUGGAAUUCCUAGUGUAGUGGUGAAAUACGUAGAUAUUAGGAGGAAUACCAGUAGCGAAGGCGACUUUCUGGGAACAAACUGACGCUGAGGUACGAAAGCGUGGGGAGCAAACAGGAUUAGAAGCCCUUGUAGUCCUAGAGC
rnacentral:rRNA from 1 species